rnacentral:rRNA from 1 species
CCUACGGGUGGCAGCAGUGAGGAAUAUUGGUCAAUGGGCGAGAGCCUGAACCAGCCAAGUCGCGUGAGGGAAGACGGUCCUAUGGAUUGUAAACCUCUUUUGCCGGGGAGCAAAAAGCGGUACGUGUACCGCAUCGAGAGUACCCGGAGAAAAAGCAUCGGCUAACUCCGUGCCAGCAGCCGCGGUAAUACGGAGGAUGCGAGCGUUAUCCGGAUUUAUUGGGUUUAAAGGGUGCGCAGGCGGAUUUUUAAGUCAGCGGUCAAAUCGUGGGGCUCAACCCCAUCCAGCCGUUGAAACUGGUUUUCUUGAGUGAGCGAGAAGUAUGCGGAAUGCGUGGUGUAGCGGUGAAAUGCAUAGAUAUCACGCAGAACUCCGAUUGCGAAGGCAGCAUACCGGCGCUCAACUGACGCUCAUGCACGAAAGUGUGGGUAUCGAACAGGAUUAGAUACCCCUGUAGUC